CCCUAGCCGUCACAACACCUUCUCCCUUCCUCCUUUCAGCCAACGUGCUGCUCCAGCCGGUCUUCUUCUUCCCUCUGCUGUCCAUGGCAUGCAGCAAGCUGGGAGCUCUCUCCUUCUCCCAUGGCGCAGCGUCUCCCUCCCCCAAGCUCUAGCGCGCACACGGCAGCAGCAACCAGCAGAUUUUCCUCCCUCUGCUGUCCAUGGCGAGCAGCAGCCCACACCAUCUUCCCAUGGAAACCAGCAGCGCGCAGGAGGGCGGCAAGGCUGGACCGACGCCCCUCUGUUGCAGCCAUGGCACCUCCCUCCCUCUCUGCUCGUGUGCAGGAAACCCCCUUAAGCGCAGGGAACCUCGGCCCUCCCAUGGCUGCCGACCACCUCUGCCCCCUUGCUGUCCCACCCCUUCUCCCUCAAACCAGCGCCCCCCUGCUCGCGUCAAGGGUGGCCAGCUCCCUGCUGUGGCCGACCAUGGCUGCCCAGCAGCAGGAGACUUUCUCCCCUCGGCUCCCCCAUCCGAGCACCCAAACAGUGCCCCUCCCUGCUCCAUUUUUGCUGUUCCUGCGCCCUCCUCUGCCCACAGCGGUGAACCCCUCCUCGCUGUUCGUCGUGGUGCCUGCCAGCUGUUCGUCAAAAUGCGCAGCAAGCCGCGCGCUGCCGGCUCGCUGUUUCGUGAAGCCCAGUGGACAGCACGCCGUCGACGCUCACCGUGGUUUGCUGUUUUUGCGCAGCCCCUUUGUCGUCGUCGUUCACCCCCGGUGAGACCGCGACGAUUUAUGUUCGAUUCCGCAUCGGGUUAUUUUCCUAUGAUUAAUUGCGUAUGUGCUGUUUGGUUUUUGUUUUGUGGAGGAGAGGAACCCUGCGUUUUGCGAGAAGAAGGCCAAUCAUUCAACGCUCGUCGGAUGUUUGGAGCGAUGCACAAAUCAGAAUCACCGUCAUUCUUGCAAACACCGUUUGGGUUUGUUUAUGGUGAGCCGAUGCAUGUCGCUCUCGAUCGACUCGAUUAAUUAUUUUGAAUGGAUGUGUGUAAAAUGUUUCGAUUAUGCGCAUUGGUGGGAUCGCGUUUGCGAUUGGAGAACAAGAGAUUAAUUGAUAUGCGCGAUUUGUAGUUGUCUAAUUAUGUUUUGGUCGAUGAUGUGCAUGUGGUUAUAUGUGUGUGAAAGUAUAAUCGUAUGAAUGGACGCGUGUAGGGAAGAAAAUGAAAUAGAAAAGAACUCGGGUAUUUUUAUUUCGAUAAGAAAAUAUGCGAUGCGUUGUUUGAUGCGAAAACUAAGUUACAAAAUGUGGAUUUUGUUUUGGGAAACGCAUCGAUAUGUGCUUAUGUGAAAAGUGUGUUUGUUUUAAGCAAUGUGAUGGGAUUCUUAAUUUUAGAGGGGAUAUAUUUAUUGAUGUGACGAGUAGUUUAGAGAAUGCUAAUUUGCGUAGAGGAUGUAUCGUUAAGACAUGAGUGUCGGAGUUCAUAUAUUAAUGGUCGUGCCACAUUGAUUGAAAUGUCUCGAGUGCACGCCACCAUAUGGUUGUAUGCGAGACAGGGUAAAAUAAAGUGUGCUCGACAUAAAUGUUCAGUCAUUGUAGGUGGAAAUUGUCCUUACUUAAAUAGAGAGGUGGUGACAUGCCGAAGUAGUCAUCGCCUCCUCUAUGUUUAUAAGUCGAGCCAAAAUGCGGGAUACUAGUAGUACGCUAGGCAGGUGGUGUUCCAAAUAGAUAAAUCGAGUGAUGUGGUAGCUGUCUAGCAUGAUAGAGGUUGAGUCACUUAGGUUAUAAAUUGAUGCUCGACAUGUGAGGUCUCCUAAAAUAUGGUGUUUUAAGUGACUUGUGCGUUGUCCAGUUUAAGUUGAGAAAAUGGUUAAGAAAAAAACUAAUUAACCUUCUCCCACCUAUGUUUUUGAGCUGUGAAGUCUAAAAUACUUUGCUAAGUGUUAUACUAGUUAACCAACUUGUUAGAUGACUUUAGUUAAGCUCGUGGUCACGAUGAUUUGCUUGUUGUAGUCUAAAUGCGUAUGGUUAUGGUUGCAGGUAAAAAUUAGUAGUGCUCAUGUGGUGUCUAAGUUAAAAUGCGGACUAAUGGGUGAAAGGCGCUUCGAUAUAAAUAUGUGCCGGAUUUGAUGAUUGUGGUGAAUGCGUUUGUUAAAUGAAUGUGGUAAUUUUAGUGCACUAAAUGAUUUGGAUAAAAUUUGUAAGUCUACUUGUUAGUGCUCAAUUGAUUGUUUUAACUCUAACAAAUGGUAAAGUGUUAGAAUAAUUCAAAUCUCUAGAUCAUGGCAAUUCUUGAAUUAUAUAGAAACUGAAAUUCGUUGAUUGCUGUUUUGGACUGCACGCGCUGUUUUAGUUGUGUUGUCUGUUUGAUGAACUAAAUUGUGUUUUCUGUAGAUAUGUGCUAUAGAAAAGUGGUAGAUAACUUUAUUAUCUUGCUGGUGUUAAAAUUUGACAGCCAUAGGUCUGACAGUUUAGGAGUUAUGCUUUUUACAAAUUCAGUAACUGAAUCUGUCCAAAUUCUGUACAGAUUUCAGAAACUGUAUUGUUUGUUCAAUUUAAUGUUGCAAUCUGUUCAUGGUCAUUAUAAGAAAGUUGUAGAUGCUUUUCUUAUCUUGCUUGUGUUAAAAUUUCAUAACUAUAGGCCUGACGGUUUAAGAGUUAUGAAUUUUACAGACUGGUUGUUGUGUUCUGUCCACCGUCAGAACAGAUUUCGAAAACUGUAAUAUUUGAUUUAGUUAAACCUAGAAUCACUUCUUGGUGAUUAUAAAAGUUGUGUAGUACUUUUGCUAAGCUUUUCAAAAAGUCUUAGAUCACUCUUUUUGGUGGUCUGAAGAUUAAGUUACAUGUGUUUGAAGUGUGAAGACUGAAUCUGUCCAGUUUUGGACAGCACAGCCUUCAUAAUAUAUUUUACCCUUGAUACAUGCUAAACCAGCUAGGGAUGUUUAUAAAUGAUAUGUAGACAAUUUAAUUAGCUUUCCAGAAAGUCUAGGAUCAAUUUGUUUGGAUGUCUGAAUCUUCAGUUGUGAAUUUUUGAAGUUGCAAGUCUGCAUCUGUCCAAAUCUGGACAGAACUGUUGUGUUAGCACUGUUUGACCUUGCUAAGUGCUGAAUCCUGUGGAGGUAAAAAUACCAAAGUCGUAGAGCACUUUUUAAGCUUUCCAAAAAGUCCUAGUUUGCUAUUUUUGGAUUCAUAUUUUAAAAGUUAUGAUUAAAACAAGUGACUGCUGUAUUGCUGUCCAAAAAUCUGCAAGUGCCCAUUUGACGAUUGAGUUCACCCGUUUGGCUAAAAAUGCUUAGUUAGCACUUAGCGGGCAUAGACCCGUAAUGGCUAAACAUAGACUAACAUGUGUUCCAUGAUUAAGGUGCUUGCUUGCUGUAGUUGAUUGUGAUAGAUGAGUCCGUCGACUUGGAUGCAUCGGUCCUCUGUUAAACUUGUUUGUGAUGCUUUUGUGUGAUCAAUAGAACUAAUGCAAAGUCGUAGCAAUUAAAUAAAUGCGUGUACCUGUGAUAUCGUAUUUGUGUUGCGUAAAUAAAUAAGAUAUGGUCGUCUUGUUAAUGGUGUUAAUGAUGAACGCUGAUAACGUACGAAUAGCUAGCGCUUGUGUAUAGUCGUUGCGGUGUCUUACUACUUGGUGUUUAGUUCGCUACCGUGUAUUGUAUAUCUUGUGAUAACUUUUCAUUAUAUUCAUACAUAUGCAUCUUGCAUCUCAUUUAGUACCGAGAGAUGGUGAUCGUGCACGUGAUAUGGUGCCAACCACAAGAUGCAGUUGGUGGACGACCUGAAGAAUGGUGGACUUACCCAGUAGAUGCUCGCCAAACGAGUACCUCCCCCAACAAACACUACCUAAGUGUUAAAUUAAAGGCAAGCCCCGGUUUUAUGCAUAACUGUUAUAUAUGAUAUUUUACUACACUUAAUGUUUGUAGGCUUGUAUUGUGCACUUAAGUGUAGGAGUUGAUUUAAACCCUAGUUGCAUGAUCUCAGGAAUCCUAUUGAGAUGAAUACUAGUAUGCUAGGUCGAGUAGCUGCUUUAUUAAUUAGGAUCUCGGUAGAAGUCGAGUGAUUUUUCUAGCACUCGCGCGAGGUCAGGAAUUGAUUGUAUCCACUUUGAUGACAAAAUGGUGAUGGUCUGUGGACACGGGUCCAUGGGGACACAUGGUCUAUGAGAUGAAAUUGGAAUAAGGAUUAACGUGCGGAUACCUGUGUCAAGCGUUUGAACGUACUAAACACAUACCGAGAAAUAUGGUAAAUCGGUAAGCCUAGUACCUGAGUGAACCUGCCCGCAGACAUAUCCCCUCACGCGACCUGAGACGAGGUCUCCCAUUCUGGUUAUGGUGGGUACAAGUGUGGUCACUGCACGACGGCCAGUCGGGGUCAGUGGGGCAUUGUACGCCAAGGCGGUGAGCCCUGAUCUGUUGCCAGGGAAUCGAUGGGGACGGUUGAUGUGUGUGGGGACGGAGUGCCCCUGCAUGUCGUGUGUUUAGGUUUACCUUGCAAGGAUAAAAACUCGAUUCGAAUCGUCUGCUUCUCGCAGCUAAUGAGACUGCUUGAUCCAUUGUACUGCAUUGAGUAAUAAGUGAAAGUAUGAUGAGAUGAGAUAAGAUGUUGACUGCUAAUAAUGCUUGCUACCAUGUAUGAGUAGAUAGUUCACUUUUACCCUUAAGAGAGUCACACUUAACUUUGACUAAGUUAAAAUCUUGAUUUAGAAACUCAGCUAGCGCUUUUGGCAACCAAACCCCACAGCCAAACAGCUGCAUGUCUAGAGGUAGAGGAGUAGACUCCUCACACCGGGUAAGUCUAGCUGAGUAUUAGUAUACUCAGCCUUGCUUGUGGCACAAUUUUUGCAGGUAUUCAUUGAUUUGGUUGAUGGUGUGACUUGGCCUCCAUCCCUGCCACCGGGAUAGAUGGUCGAGUGGGUUACUGCUUCCGCAGGAGAGGACCAGGAGGAGUAGCGUGGCCAGGCUUCGCCAUGUUACUCGGUUUUCUCCGUUAGUUAUUUCCGCUGCAUUAAAAUUUAUGGUUAUUAUUUCUGAAACUCCGAUAAUGCAAUCACUAAUGAUACUUAUUAAAUUUGUGGUAUUAUGCUUUAUUGUAUUUCUCUGUGCCUCACCUUCGAGUGAGCUAGUGGUAUUCGAUCCUGGUUAAGUGGCUUUAUCGGACUAGAUCCGAGGGACUAACGGGUUAUUCCUAUUUAAGUGUGGUCUAGCCUCUAAGGCGGGACUUAGGCACUUAAGUUGGAAUAAUUCGGGCGGUUCCGCCACAGCUGGUAUCGGAGCGAAUACCAUUACAGAGAAGUCAAUAAGUCAUAAAUACCAACCUUUUCUAAAGUAAAACUUGCUAGAAACCAAAGCUGGAUAGAUCGUCAGGACGAUCAGGAUAGACUUAGGACGUGAAGCCUUAGGAAAAUAGAUGGGUAGCUAGGUGGCUAUAUUUAUAUAGGCCAUAAAGGCUACUAUUUCUACUAUUAGGAUGCUGUAGAAGCAUCCGAAAAAUUAGUUAGGUCUGAGAAGACGACUAGAAUGAGCAUGCAUCAUGAUUGUCGCAUUAUAAUUGUCUCUUGUGCCUCAACAUGCUUCUCUCACCUUUAUUCCAAUAAUAAUAACUUGUGAAUAAUGUGAUGUACUGGGUUAGGAGCUAUAAGAAGUGCCUUGUCCUGUGUGUCAUGAUAGUCUUGACUUGGUCGUGAUAUGUGUUUCUCUUGCCUUGCUUUCUAGAAGGUACGAUAGUUGUUCAGUCCAUUUUGCCUCUAACAAAAAAAAUGUUGUCUGUCCUGCUCAUGAAAAGACCCCCUUCCCCAAAUAAUCUAGUGGUUCCCUAGUGAAACCUUUUAAAAAAAAUCAAAUCACGUGCUUGUUUUGGUGUUUCUAGCCCUUGUGUGUUUGACACUUGAAAUUGCACUUGCACAACUUAUAGACACUCAUAGCUUGACCGCUUGCCAAACCGAAACUUCCUUGUGCACGUGGUUUUGUCAAAAAAAAUCGUUUGGUGUCUAGUUGCGCAAACCAUGACCAAGCCAUGUUUCUUUCCAUAAGUCCUUGCCCCAAAAACUUCCUAGCAUAUCUGCUGAUCAUCCUAGCUGAUCCUGCUUGAUGACCUCUCUUUUUCACCUAUAUCUAGAAAUCUUUUCCUUUGUGAAUCAUGUUGUGGCUUAUCAUCCGAAUCUCUGGAUCCCUUAAUAAUUCUGCCUCGUUAUCUGGUUAUCUGUUGUAACCCGUUCUCAAGUAUCGGAUGUUGAUCUUGCCUAAAUCUCUCAUUCUAAUCAUUCUCAUACUCUUUCUCCAAGGAUCAUGAUGUCAUUUUAUCAACUUAUCUCUAAUCAGUGUAUCCAUUUAGUUCAAUGGAUUUCAUUGUUGUCCUUGGUUCUCUCAUGGCUCUAAAAGCUCAAUAAUCUAUUUUGAUCUCAUGGUCGGUUCAUCCUCAUAUCAAAUCUCGUGCUAAUAUCUGAUCUGAUAAUCUCCAUGUUGAUCAUAAAAUGGUUCUCUGAGUUAAAUAAAAAUUCUCAUCUGAUGCUCUUUUGCCAACAAUCUUUGCUUCAACUUCAGUCACAUUUUCUGAGCCAUACUCUCAUGGGCUCCAUCUAAUUAUGCCAAGUGAAUUUUUCAUUGGUUACGUUUGGUAAUGGUGUCAUGACUAACGACUGAUGGUGCCGCGACAAAACCGAGAGCCUACUAUGGUGCACACAUGGUUGAGCUGCUCGGCACGCGCUGGUAUCAUGGUUAAUAGUUGUGAUCCAUUACGAGGCUAUACCGAUGUGCUAUCUUUUGUGGACACUCUCUCAGAAGGAUCGCUGCAUUUUGUCUCAAUAUGUCGCGAUAUUCUAUCCAAAUCAAUCUUCCGUAUCUCGUAAGAUACCCUCUCAUGAAUUUGCAUCUAUCUUCAGCCCGAGAGUUACAUGCUUCUUCACCCUUGAAGAUCCUUGUCUGAAUCUCGGGACGAGAUUCUUUUUAAGGGGGAAGGCUGUGACACCCCAGGUGUCUAUUUCGGGUUAUGUCGAAAGAUUUAUCCUAAUCUCGGAUGCUCAGUGAAAAUUUCUAUUUCUCGAUCGUGUCUAUCUCUGUCUAUCAGGCUUUCUCAUGGAAGUUCACCGAAUUCAGAGUAAUCGAUCGUGAGAAACAACCAAUUUUGGAGCGUGUUAAAACUUUUAAUUCUCGGAACUAAUGCAAACUCGAUAGUCAACCUCGAAUUAUAAAUCUCAUCUGAAGCUCUUUAAAUCAAACUCUCGACGACUGUUAUCUGAUCUGAGCCCAAGUCUAAUUCCUCGAACCUCGAUCGAUGUCCGACUAUUUUAAUCCGGGUCCGUACUCUCAGACAGAAUACUCAGUAUAUCAUCCUCUAAUAAAUUCUUACUCGACUCAGCCUAGUAUCUUUGUGUCUAAACCGAAUUCAAAACCCACUCCGGCAGCGAUUUUAAAAUGUCACGAUUCGCCUUCUCCGACUAAAAAUCCAAAGCCGAUCAAAAUUUGAGAGAAACAUUUAUUUCUAAAAUAGUGCGCGAGAAAAUUUCAAAAGCGGAAUCUCCAAUGGGUUGUCCUCAAAUAAAUUCUUAUCCGAUUCGUCUUAAUAUCUCGGUAUCCAAUCCGAUUUUAAAAAUCAGCAUCGGCGAUGAUUUUAAAUGUCGCGAAUUGUCUCUUUCAAUCCUAAAUCCGAAAGCCGGUCAUAUUUCGAGGUGAUUUAUUUUCGAAUUAUGCGUAGUGAAUUAUUUUCGAGCGAAAUCAAAUUAGACUCUCGGCCGAACUAAUCGCUCAAUCGUCCAUUCGUCCGAAUUUUAUUUCACUCUAUUCUCCGUAGAGACGAAACCCGCAGGAGCAUUUUUAUUUCGGAAAUAAUUUAGCGCAGCCCAAUAGAGUAUUUUGGGCCAAGCCCAUUCCAUCCUAAUAGGCCCACUAAGGGAACCCUAACCCUAAGAUUUCCUCUAUAAAUAUGGGCUUCCCUCCCUUGCAUUCUGAAAUUUUACAUCUCCUACCCCUAGCCGUCACAACACCUUCUCCCUUCCUCCUUUCAGCCAACGUGCUGCUCCAGCCGGUCUUCUUCUUCCCUCUGCUGUCCAUGGCAUGCAGCAAGCUGGGAGCUCUCUCCUUCUCCCAUGGCGCAGCGUCUCCCUCCCCCAAGCUCUAGCGCGCACACGGCAGCAGCAACCAGCAGAUUUUCCUCCCUCUGCUGUCCAUGGCGAGCAGCAGCCCACACCAUCUUCCCAUGGAAACCAGCAGCGCGCAGGAGGGCGGCAAGGCUGGACCGACGCCCCUCUGUUGCAGCCAUGGCACCUCCCUCCCUCUCUGCUCGUGUGCAGGAAACCCCCUUAAGCGCAGGGAACCUCGGCCCUCCCAUGGCUGUCGACCACCUCUGCCCCCUUGCUGUCCCACCCCUUCUCCCUCAAACCAGCGCCCCCCCUGCUCGCGUCAAGGGUGGCCAGCUCCCUGCUGUGGCCGACCAUGGCUGCCCAGCAGCAGGAGACUUUCUCCCCUCGGCUCCCCCAUCCGAGCACCCAAACAGUGCCCCUCCCUGCUCCAUUUUUGCUGUUCCUGCGCCCUCCUCUGCCCACAGCGGUGAACCCCUCCUCGCUGUUCGUCGUGGUGCCUGCCGGCUGUUCGUCAAAAUGCGCAGCAAGCCGCGCGCUGCCGGCUCGCUGUUUCGUGAAGCCCAGUGGACAGCACGCCGUCGACGCUCACCGUGGUUUGCUGUUUUUGCGCAGCCCCUUUGUCGUCGUCGUUCACCCCCGGUGAGACCGCGACGAUUUAUGUUCGAUUCCGCAUCGGGUUAUUUUCCUAUGAUUAAUUGCGUA
rnacentral:lncRNA from 1 species